AGUAGUAGCGGUUCCUGUUGAGGGGAAGGGAAAGUUGCGUCUGUUAAAUAAACGUCUGUCACCAGCUUCGUGGACCUUACCUCUCACAUCCUUCCCUCAAUGCACGGGAGAGUGAAAACAUCGCCAUUAUUUUUCUUUCCAACACUGUCUCCUUGUACUCUUUCACCUGUUGCCCGUCGAGAAGUUGCGUCAAUCGGAUAAAGGGGAUGGCUUGUCCACCUUCUGACGUCCAACCCCAGAACAGACAGGAGACCUCCUCAAUAACAAUAACUGGAAGGACGAAUUUUCUCAACGAAGAGCACAAGUUGAGAACCAGAAAGGGAAAAAAGAAAGUGGACAUAGUGUUGAAGAUGCUGGAAAUCUGAAAUAAAAACAGAAAUGCUGGACAUACUCAGCAGGUCAGGUUGUGGAGAGAAACAAAAUCACCACUUCAGGCUGAUGAACCUUGAGAAGCAAAAUAUCGCUCACAUUGCGGCCGCCUCUACAGUGGGAAGACCAAACAGCUGGAAAAUGAAAAUCAGGUCCAGAUGGAUUUAUAUGAUGAUUUGAUUAAUGAUAUAAUAGGGGUAAACAAUGGGUUAAAGCCUGAAAUGGACAAUUCAGAGCGCUCAUCAAACACUGCAAUUGUCCCAACUACUGCUGUUCCAAAUAAAGCUGACCCUUCUAAAUAUUGCGUUCCGGAUAAGACUAAUACACCAAUUUAUAAAAGGAAGGCUAUGUUGAUUGGAAAUCUGACAUGGUGGACAACUGUUGAUGACUUAUUAGCUGCCAUUCAUUCUACUGGAAUAUAUAAUGUUGAUGAAAUCAAAUUUUAUGAAGUUGCAAAAGGUGGUCAAUCGAAAGGGUUUGUUAGUGUGAAAUUGUUUUCUGAUUGUGACGUACAAAGACUGUUCAGAACUCUUCCAAAGAAGGAAGUUCAUGGAAGGACCCCGGAUGUUCGGCACUUUACUGCAGCAAAUUACCAGUAUUUUGAAACGCAGUUCAUAAAUGCAAUGGAAAAAUCGAAGUUGCAUUCGGCAAAGAGUGAUAUAUUUGAUCCUGAUGUAAAUUGCAAACAAUUUGCAUUUGACCCUUUAGAAGAAGGAUAUCCAGCAUCAAUUCCAUGGCAGAUCCAGCAGAAGUUUUCACCACAUAUAAAUCUUCGUUCACUGACAACGGAUGAAACCAUUCCACCUUUUCCACCUUUCCCACAGCCACCAGUUAGACCACUCACUUCAGCUGUUGAAACUAAACUCCAGCAUGGUUCUGCACCAUUUUCUCCCAAUUUAUUGUUACCAUACUUAACUUCAUUGGCAGCACCACCUACGAACAUCCCAGAACCAGUUCUUAGUGUGUUUCCCAAGUUUUUCUUUCAAUACUUAACUUCAUUGGUAGUACCACCUCUGAACAUCCCAGGUCCAGUUCUUGGUGCAUUUCCCAAUUUUUUCUUACGGAGCUUAACUUCAUUGUCAGUACCACCUGCGAACAUUCCAGCUUCAGUUCUUAGUGGACAUGGACAAAGUCAGACAUCGCAAGUUACUUGUGUUGAUCCUGUGACAUUAAUAACACCAAGCACGAGUCUUUCUAUCUUGGACAGUAAUACAACGACUCCUGUGUACAGUACAUGCUAUAAGGAUUGCGGAUUACCAGGAAGUGAAACAGAUUUUCAAGAAACACCGCAAAGCAAGAAGGAGCCUAUAAAAGAACUUGAUAGCAAAGGAGCUUUUUCCACCAAUGAUCAGAGCAAAGAUGAUGGUUCAGAAGAUUAUGGGACCCUACUUCGGCUUGUUUCUUUUGUUAAAAAAUCUAAAGCAAUCGCACAAGACAGUUUCAAGGAUUCAAACUGUUCUCCAAAUCAGAGUCAUGGUGGAGAGAGCAAACGCUCAGGAUUACGAGAGCAUGAAUAUCCUAGACACAGAGAAAAUUGGAGAUCUAAAGAGAGAAGUGGGUCACUGCGAGAUCGUUCCAGAAGUCCAAGUUCCUGUGAUAGUCAUUAUCAAAAGAAAAAAAUGGAUUAUGAUCAAAAGAGACAGCAGAGCCAUCAAAGAAGUCACCUUGAAAAUUCUUCUCGGAUAGAACAUCAUUCGGACAGAAGCCGAAAAAGAGACAACUUUGACCGAGAAAGGCCUUGUGAAUCCAAGAGGUAUCACUCUAGAAAUAGUGAUCCUUGGCAUAUUUAUUCUGAAAAGAGUGGAAAAGGACACAAUUACAGUCAAGAAAAAUAUUGUAGAAUAAAACAAAAAAAGGACAGAGAGUACCAUUUUUAAUGGUAUGUGUGUUGAUUUUGUUAUCUUUACUUGGACUUGAGAUCUAUAUAUUGUAAAACAGUGAAUAUCUUGUACAUUAAUCCACAGUGAUGGAAGUGGACUCUUAAUCUUCCACACGGGAUUCCAGCAAAAUCUACUUUCAAAUAGUCUGUAUAGGCAUGUAGCCAAAGCAAAUAACGUUGGUGUUUAUAAGAUGGGUUGUAUAGUGUUGAUUAAUUGUUAGCCAUCAUAUUUUCAAUUUUUCUCUCCUUAUUAGGGCCUCCAUAUGUCAUCACUGCUCUUAAACAAGAGGCUGGUGACUUAAUUAGUAUCUCUACCAACAGUUGGUGUACAGAUCACAAUUAAAUUAAUUACUUGAUUAAAAUUCCACAUUAGGAUUUUGUACAAUGAAGCCACUCCUCUAGUAAAAUAUUUAGUCUACUAUUUUUUUGAGAGAGGAAAGCAAGUGGGAAAUGAUUCCUGGGACACCUGGAAUUAAUGGCAAAGUCAUUUUUCUUGCUCACCUGGAGUAAAUAGGGUAGAAAGUUAAUUGAUACAUAGAAGUAUAUGGAAGUUACAACACAAACAGGCUAUCUUCCUCAACCAAUCUAUCAAAGCAUUUAUCCUCUAUGCGAGCAAGUCCUAAUCACGUUUACUUGCCCUGUCCCCAUAUCCCUUUUCCUUUAUCCCCCUAUCUGUUCUAAUCUUAAAUGUUGGCAUGGUUUCUGCCUCAGCUAUUUAUCCUGGCAGUGAAUUCCAUAACCUCAACUCUCUUUAAAAGAGCUUUCAUUGCUAAAUGCCUUGGGUUUAAUUUGUAUCUAUGAUCUCUUGUUCUUGGGGUUUCUAUUAUUAGUGUGUGUUUCUACUGUCCCAUCCUAUCCUAAGUUAAAAUCUGUGGUGUUCUGAUGAAAAAGCCUCAGCUUUCCAGUGUUUCUUGUGUUGCAUUUGCUUAUACCAGGCAGCACCCUAGUGAAUCUGCUUUAUAUCCUCACCAAUCAUUAUCCUUGCAAUUGUUUGGAAGCCAAAAUUGCGCACAGUAUUCAACUGAACUUAUAAAGUUUUGUAUAGACUCUUCCUUAUUUCUUGGCUUUCACAUUCUAUAUCUUUUCUAAUAUUGCAGUUUCAUUAACUUUCCCUGUAACCUCAUCUACUAUAGGGGAUGUCUUAUAUCUCCUUUAAGUAUGUGCUCUCCAAAUCUCUGCUCUUUAACAGCAUCAUGCCACCUUUAUUUAGGAUGUAAUUCGUGUGAUUUUGUUUUGGACCAAAAUAUAUCACCACAAAUUUUAUCUGCAACUUAAGUGUGCUCCCUAUCUUGUCAGGAUUCCUUGCAGCUUUUCCUUUGUCUUAUAAAGAAUUGGUUGUAUCAUCUAUUUUGAUAUUUUCAAAUUGUCACAUAGCUCUUUCCAGCUCUGUAUCCAAAUUAUUGUUAAUAUUUUGAACAAAAGUGUCCUCAGAGCUCAACACUGUGCGACUGCAGUGCAUACUUUCAAUCACCCUGGAAUACUGCCCUUAACUCUUCCUUUCUGUUUUCUCCCUCCGAAUGUUGAAUUCAGUUUACUAUGCUCUCCCAUAAUCUUAUCUAAUCUGUGAUACUUUACUAAAGACUUUCCUAAAGUCCAUGGACACUACAUUUUUGUGUGCACUGAAUAAUAGUUUGCCAAUUUUGUUGGCUUUUGAUGAUUGCACAUAGGAAGUUGUAACCUUGUGGAUACAUAAAAGGUGAUACUUGCCUCUAAACCCUUGUAAUUGAAGCCCUUGCCUCACUGUAUUGUAAUAGUCAUUGCUAAGGGUGAUGUUUCAGACUUGCUGGAGUGCAAAUGCCAUCAGUCAGUGUUUGUGUAAUUAUAUUCACAGGUAGUGUCGUUUAUAUUCGGAGUAGGUUUUUUUUUAAAUCGCAAUUUCAAGGAAAUUUAAUGCGCUUCUAAAAGAAUACAGAAUAAUGAAGAAUAUUGACUCUUCAUUCCAUUCAUACUCUGAAAGGACCUAGCAGCUUCAGGGAAAGUGCUGGAUAGAUUUAAAGAAAUAGCAGAAUAAUGGCAUUUGCUAUUAAGAUUACCUCUGGCAUUGUAGCAUUUUUCCUCUUCAGAUCAACGUUUUAUAUUUAAAAUGUUGAACUUUUUGGGAUUUGAUUGCUGCCUGCAAACAUACCAUAUUCGACUGAUACUAUACCAAUUGUGAUUGUUUCCUCUGUAAUUUUUUUCACAUUUUUCAAUGAAACAAACUAUCCAAAGCCUUAUACAAUUUAGAAACUUAAAAUACAUCAUAGGAUGGCCCUACUUCUGCCCAUUUGCUAUAUUUUUGUUAGCAGAAUAUUUGUGCUUCAUUGUUGGAAUUCUCGUUUGUGUAUUUUUUUUUAGUUUCAACCUGCUAUACUUUUUUAUUGCAUCUUAGAAUGACUGAAUCAGCUUUAUGAUGUAUGGAAAAUGAUAUGUUUGUGUAACUUGAGUAAAAGAUUCAGCUGACACUGGAUACAGUUGAAAGCUAUGCAUUUUGACCUUCCUACUUAAAUCUGAUGGAAAACUCUGCAUAAAUGCUACCUGAUCCUCAAAUAUUAUUGAGUAAGAUUCUAGAAAAUUCAUCAACUCCACAUCACUCUUCAACCCUGGCUGGCUGCUCUCUAUGCACAAUAUCUACUCCUGCAGUAGGACAGAAUUAUUGUAUCCUGUGUUGUACCUGAUUAUCUCCAUAUAUAUCUGUAGGUGAUGGCUUCCCCUGUGACCACCAGCCUCAUUCCCAAUCAGACAUUUAACUAGCUCCUUUUUAAAGAAGUCUGAACCUGAGCAGAACUUGGUAAGAAUUUGUUCUACUUUUGCAUUACUUUUAUGCUGGGAAGGAGGAAGAGUUUAUUUUCUGUAGCUUCACUUUGAAGCUUUAUAAUUUGAAAUCUAUGGUCUCUUUCAGUUCUUUACUCAGUUUUGGGUCCAAUAGACUUACACACAAAUCAUUCUGAACAUUCCAGCACAUUAAUGUUCUUUUGAAAAUAUUGUGAGCAAAACUGCGCAUUUCCAAAUGGGAUCUCACUAAUGAUCUAUACAAGUAACUUUGCCAUUUUCCCAUAAACCAACAACAAAUCUUUAUCGUUCCCUACCUUUUAUUGUUUGCACAUUUACUGUUGCCUUGCAUUUAUUUCAUUAAGAACACUGAAAACGGUAAUUUGCAAUAACUUUGGUAACGCCAUUUUCUCUCAUUUUGCACAGAGCACAAUUGAAAGUAGAUAUGGAGUUCAGGAUUCUGUAUUUCAAUAUUUUGCUGUGUAAAGAUUAACUCUGAAUUGUUAGUUCAAUAAAAUCUUUUAUUUUAAAGUUUCUUCAGAAAUGGAUGAAGUAAUUUGGCUUCAAUACGAAGAUCAAUAUCAAAGAUUGAUUAAAUAUGCUAUAGUUUAAUAUAAUGUAUAGUCUUACACCAGCUAUGUGUCCACAAGGUUUGGAAAAAUGUCUCUACUUCAAAAAUCAUGAAAUUUCUCAGGUGUCAAUUAAAAGGCGGUUUAACUUUU